GUCACAUGCUUCUUUCUGGCCAGGAAUCGAGUUUCACUUCCAGCCGCUAUUAGUCGGUUCACACAGUUCACUGCAAACAUUUGAUAAUGAGGCUAAAUAUACUCCCGCGUCGGAGGAGGCGUGGGCGUCCCCGCCCAGGCCCGGGAGACAGAGGCGCUGACCCCGGGACAGAGCCUGGCUUUGUGCGGGAGGCAGACGCGCCCCGCGCGCCGCCCCCGAAACAUUCGCACCCCAUGCUGAGGCGCGCGUCUGGGAGUCCGUGGGCGCCCCGAGGGGCAGUGGAAGCCGUUGGAGGGCCUCAGGCAGGAACACAAGGUGUCGUGGCAGAAAGGAAGAAGGGGCCGGGCACGGUGGCCCACACCCGUCAUCCCAGCACUUUGGGAGGGAGGCCAAGGCAGGAGGAUCGCUUCAAUCCAGGAGUUCAAGAUCAGCCUGGGCAACACAGCAAGACCCCGUCUCUACUAAAACCCUAAAACUUAGCCAGGCUUGGUGGCAUGUGCCUAAGGUCCCAGGUCCUCGGGAGACUAAGGCAGGAGGAUUGCUUAAGCCCAAGAGUUUGAGGCUGCAGUGAACUAUUA
rnacentral:lncRNA from 1 species